rnacentral:rRNA from 1 species
UUGCCUCAGUAACGGCGAGUGAAGCGGCAACAGCUCAAAUUUGAAAUCUGGCCUUGUUGCACGGCCAGAUUUGUAUUCUGUAGAAGAUGUCGCUGGCCGAGACUAUCUCCGAAGUCCCCUGGAACGAGGCACCGGAGAGGGUGAGAGUCCCGUGCGGGGAUUGCUCGAUGGUCAAUGUGCGACUCCUUCGGCGAGUCGAGUAGUUUGGGAAUGCUGCUCUAAAUGGGAGGUAAAUUCCUUCUAAGGCUAAAUAUCGGCCGGAGACCGAUAGCGCACAAGUAGAGUGAUCGAAAGAUGAAAAGCACUUUGAAAAGAGGGUUAAAUAGUACGUGAAAUUGUUGAAAGGGAAGCGCCCGCGACCAGACUUGUC